rnacentral:tRNA from 1 species
UAGCCUAGUGGUUAUGGCUUUGGAUCGCCAAUCCGGAGACGGCGGGUUUGAUUCCCGU